UGCAGAGGGGGCAAGCGUUAUUCGGAAUUAUUGGGCGUAAAGGGCGCGUAGGCGGCUUUGCAAGUGACGGGUGAAAGCCCUCGGCUUAACCGAGGAACUGCCUGUCAGACUGUGAGGCUUGAGACCGGGAGAGGUGAGUGGAAUUCCCAGUGUAGCGGUGAAAUGCGUAGAUAUUGGGAGGAACACCAGUGGCGAAGGCGGCUCACUGGACCGGAACUGACGCUGAGGCGCGAAAGCUAGGGGAGCAAACGGG
rnacentral:rRNA from 1 species